AACGAACGCUGGCGGCAGGCCUAACACAUGCAAGUCGAGCGUGAAGCCGACCUUCGGGACGGUGGAAAGUGGCAGACGGGUGAGUAACGCGUGGGAAUUUACCUAAUGGUAUGGGAUAACUCAGGGAAACUUGGGCUAAUACCGUAUAAGCCCUUCGGGGGAAAGAUUUAUCGCCAUUAGAUGAGCCCGCGUCGGAUUAGCUUGUUGGUGAGGUAAAAGCUCACCAAGGCGACGGUCCGUAGCUGGUCUGAGAGGAUGAUCAGCCACACUGGGACUGAGACACGGCCCAG
rnacentral:rRNA from 1 species